GGGUUGUGAGGUUAAGCGACUAAGCGUACACGGUGGAUGCCCUGGCAGUCAGAGGCGAUGAAGGACGUGCUAAUCUGCGAAAAGCGCCGGCGAGGUGAUAUGAACCUUUGACCCGGCGAUGUCCGAAUGGGGAAACCCAGUGUGAUUCGUCACACUAUCGUUAACUGAAUACAUAGGUUAACGAGGCGAACCGGGGGAACUGAAACAUCUAAGUACCCCGAGGAAAAGAAAUCAACCGAGAUUCCCCCAGUAGCGGCGAGCGAACGGGGAGCAGCCCGGAGUCUGAAUCAGCUUGUGUGUUAGUGGAACGGUCUGGAAAGUCCGACGGUACAGGGUGAUAGUCCCGUACACGAAAAUGCACAGGUUGUGAACUCGAAGAGUAGGGCGGGACACGUGGUAUCCUGUCUGAAUAUGGGGGGACCAUCCUCCAAGGCUAAAUACUCCUGACUGACCGAUAGUGAACCAGUACCGUGAGGGAAAGGCGAAAAGAACCCCGGCGAGGGGAGUGAAAAAGAACCUGAAACCGUGUACGUACAAGCAGUGGGAGCCUACUUGUUAGGUGACUGCGUACCUUUUGUAUAAUGGGUCAGCGACUUAUAUUCUGUAGCAAGGUUAACCGAAUAGGGGAGCCGAAGGGAAACCGAGUCUUAACUGGGCGUUAAGUUGCAGGGUAUAGACCCGAAACCCGGUGAUCUAGCCAUGGGCAGGUUGAAGGUUGGGUAACACUAACUGGAGGACCGAACCGACUAAUGUUGAAAAAUUAGCGGAUGACCUGUGGCUGGGGGUGAAAGGCCAAUCAAACCGGGAGAUAGCUGGUUCUCCCCGAAAGCUAUUUAGGUAGCGCCUCGUGAACUCAUCUUCGGGGGUAGAGCACUGUUUCGGCUAGGGGGCCAUCCCGGCUUACCAACCCGAUGCAAACUACGAAUACCGAAGAAUGUUAUCACGGGAGACACACGGCGGGUGCUAACGUCCGUCGUGAAGAGGGAAACAACCCAGACCGCCAGCUAAGGUCCCAAAGUCAUGGUUAAGUGGGAAACGAUGUGGGAAGGCACAGACAGCCAGGAUGUUGGCUUAGAAGCAGCCAUCAUUUAAAGAAAGCGUAAUAGCUCACUGGUCGAGUCGGCCUGCGCGGAAGAUGUAACGGGGCUAAACCAUGCACCGAAGCUGCGGCAGCGACGCUUAUGCGUUGUUGGGUAGGGGAGCGUUCUGUAAGCCGUUGAAGGUGGCCUGUGAGGGUUGCUGGAGGUAUCAGAAGUGCGAAUGCUGACAUAAGUAACGAUAAAGCGGGUGAAAAGCCCGCUCGCCGGAAGACCAAGGGUUCCUGUCCAACGUUAAUCGGGGCAGGGUGAGUCGACCCCUAAGGCGAGGCCGAAAGGCGUAGUCGAUGGGAAACAGGUUAAUAUUCCUGUACUUGGUGUUACUGCGAAGGGGGGACGGAGAAGGCUAUGUUAGCCGGGCGACGGUUGUCCCGGUUUAAGCAUGUAGGCGGAGGUUCCAGGUAAAUCCGGUACCUUUUUAACGCUGAGGUGUGAUGACGAGGCACUACGGUGCUGAAGUAACAAAUGCCCUGCUUCCAGGAAAAGCCUCUAAGCAUCAGGUAACACGAAAUCGUACCCCAAACCGACACAGGUGGUCAGGUAGAGAAUACCAAGGCGCUUGAGAGAACUCGGGUGAAGGAACUAGGCAAAAUGGUGCCGUAACUUCGGGAGAAGGCACGCUGAUAUGUAGGUGAAGCCCCUGCGGGUGGAGCUGAAAUCAGUCGAAGAUACCAGCUGGCUGCAACUGUUUAUUAAAAACACAGCACUGUGCAAACACGAAAGUGGACGUAUACGGUGUGACGCCUGCCCGGUGCCGGAAGGUUAAUUGAUGGGGUUAGCGGUAACGCGAAGCUCUUGAUCGAAGCCCCGGUAAACGGCGGCCGUAACUAUAACGGUCCUAAGGUAGCGAAAUUCCUUGUCGGGUAAGUUCCGACCUGCACGAAUGGCGUAAUGAUGGCCAGGCUGUCUCCACCCGAGACUCAGUGAAAUUGAACUCGCUGUGAAGAUGCAGUGUACCCGCGGCAAGACGGAAAGACCCCGUGAACCUUUACUAUAGCUUGACACUGAACACUGGUCCUUGAUGUGUAGGAUAGGUGGGAGGCUUUGAAGCGUGGACGCCAGUCUGCGUGGAGCCGACCUUGAAAUACCACCCUUUAAUGGCUGGUGUUCUAACGUAGACCCGUAAUCCGGGUUGCGGACAGUGUCUGGUGGGUAGUUUGACUGGGGCGGUCUCCUCCCAAAGAGUAACGGAGGAGCACGAAGGUUAGCUAAUCCUGGUCGGACAUCAGGAGGUUAGUGCAAUGGCAUAAGCUAGCUUGACUGCGAGAGUGACGGCUCGAGCAGGUGCGAAAGCAGGUCAUAGUGAUCCGGUGGUUCUGAAUGGAAGGGCCAUCGCUCAACGGAUAAAAGGUACUCCGGGGAUAACAGGCUGAUACCGCCCAAGAGUUCAUAUCGACGGCGGUGUUUGGCACCUCGAUGUCGGCUCAUCACAUCCUGGGGCUGAAGUAGGUCCCAAGGGUAUGGCUGUUCGCCAUUUAAAGUGGUACGCGAGCUGGGUUUAGAACGUCGUGAGACAGUUCGGUCCCUAUCUGCCGUGGGCGCUGGAGAAUUGAGGGGGGCUGCUCCUAGUACGAGAGGACCGGAGUGGACGCAUCACUGGUGUUCGGGUUGUCAUGCCAAUGGCACUGCCCGGUAGCUAAAUGCGGAAGAGAUAAGUGCUGAAAGCAUCUAAGCACGAAACUUGCCCCGAGAUGAGUUCUCCCUGAGACUAUAAGUCUCCUGAAGGAACGUUGAAGACGACGACGUUGAUAGGUCGGGUGUGUAAGCGCAGCGAUGCGUUGAGCUAACCGAUACUAAUGAACCGUGAGGCUUAACCUUACAACGCCGAAGGUGUUU
rnacentral:rRNA from 1 species